rnacentral:rRNA from 1 species
GCCCCAGUAACGGCGAGUGAAGCGGCAACAGCUCAAAUUUGAAAUCUGGCCCUCGGGUCCGAGUUGUAAUUUGUAGAGGAUGCUUUUGGCGCGGUGCCUUCCGAGUUCCCUGGAACGGGACGCCAUAGAGGGUGAGAGCCCCGUCUGGUUGGACACCAAGCCUCUGUAAAGCUCCUUCGACGAGUCGAGUAGUUUGGGAAUGCUGCUCUAAAUGGGAGGUAUAUGUCUUCUAAAGCUAAAUAUUGGCCAGAGACCGAUAGCGCACAAGUAGAGUGAUCGAAAGAUGAAAAGCACUUUGAAAAGAGAGUUAAAUAGCACGUGAAAUUGUUGAAAGGGAAGCGAUUAUGACCAGACUUGGGCUUGGUUGAUCAUCCGGCGUUCUCGCCGGUGCACUCUUCCGGCCCAGGCCAGCAUCAGUUCGCUGCGGGGGAUAAAGGCGUCGGGAAUGUGGCUCCCUCGGGAGUGUUAUAGCCCUUCGUGCAAUGCCCUGCGGUGGACUGAGGACCGCGCUUUAUGCAAGGAUGCUGGCGUAAUGGUCAUCAUCGACCCGUCUUGAAACACGGACCAAGGAGUCGUCUUCGUAUGCGAGUGUUCGGGUGUCAAACCCCUACGCGUAAUGAAAGUGAACGCAGGUGAGAGCUUCGGCGCAUCACCGACCGAUCCUGAUGUUCUCGGAUGGAUUUGAGUAAGAGCAUACGGAGCCGGACCCGAAAGAAGGUGAACUAUGCCUGUAUAGGGUGAAGCCAGAGGAAACUCUGGUGGAGGCUCGCAGCGGUUCUGACGUGCAAAUCGAUCGUCAAAUAUGGGCAUGGGGGC